rnacentral:rRNA from 1 species
UGAGGAAUAUUGCGCAAUGGGCGAAAGCCUGACGCAGCAACGCCGCGUGAAGGAUGAAGGUGCUUUGCAUUGUAAACUUCUGUAGGGAGGGACGAAUCGCCGGUUUUGCCGGUAUUGACGGUACCUCCAAAGUAAGCACCGGCUAACUCCGUGCCAGCAGCCGCGGUAAUACGGAGGGUGCAAGCGUUGUCCGGAUUUACUGGGUGUAAAGGGCGUGUAGGCGGGAGAAUGUGUCGGAAGUGAAAUCGCGCGGCUUAACCGUGUCAAUUGCUUCCGAAACUGUUCUUCUUGAAUGCGAGAGAGGCAGAUGGAAUUCCAGGUGUAGCGGUGGAAUGCGUAGAUAUCUGGAAGAACACCAGUGGCGAAGGCGGUCUGCUGGCUCGUGAUUGACGCUGAGGCG